rnacentral:rRNA from 1 species
UACACUCCUGCGGGAGGCAGCAGUGGGGAAUAUUGGCCAAUGGGCGCAAGCCUGAUCCAGCCAUGCCGCGUGAGUGAUGAAGGCCCUAGGGUUGUAAAGCUCUUUCACCGGUGAAGAUAAUGACGGUAACCGGAGAAGAAGCCCCGGCUAACUUCGUGCCAGCAGCCGCGGUAAUACGAAGGGGGCUAGCGUUGUUCGGAUUUACUGGGCGUAAAGCGCACGUAGGCGGACUAUUAAGUCAGGGGUGAAAUCCCGGGGCUCAACCCCGGAACUGCCUUUGAUACUGGUAGUCUUGAGUUCGAGAGAGGUGAGUGGAAUUCCGAGUGUAGAGGUGAAAUUCGUAGAUAUUCGGAGGAACACCAGUGGCGAAGGCGGCUCACUGGCUCGAUACUGACGCUGAGGUGCGAAAGCGUGGGGAGCAAACAGGAUUAGAUACCCCAGUAGUCCCAU